rnacentral:ncRNA from 1 species
GUUUCAGGGCGGGGUGAGAUUCCCCACUGGCGGUGAUGGGCACGGCCCAGAGUCCGCGAGCCGCACAAGCAGCCGAUCUGGUGAGAUUCCAGGACCAACGGUCAUAGUCCGGAUGAAAGAAA